AAUGACCUACGGGGGGCAGCAGUAGGGAAUUUUCGUCAAUGGGCGCAAGGCUGAACGAGCGAUGCCGCGUGAGUGAAGAAGGCCUUCGGGUCGUAAAGCUCUGUUGCGGGGGAAAAAAGGCAGCAUCAGGAAAUGGGUGCUGACUGAUGGUGCCCCGCCAGAAAGUCACGGCUAACUACGUGCCAGCAGCCGCGGUAAUACGUAGGUGUCGAGCGUUAUCCGGCAUGAUUGGGCGUAAAGGGUG
rnacentral:rRNA from 1 species